rnacentral:pre_miRNA from 1 species
AGUGGAAUUGCUGGGUCAGAUGGUAAUUCUAUGUUUAACUUUUUGAGGAACUGCCAGACUGUUUUCCACAGUGACUGUACCAUUUUAUAUUCCCACCAGCAAU